GACGAACGCUGGCGGCGUGCUUAACACAUGCAAGUCGAACGGAAAGGCCCUGCUUUUGUGGGGUGCUCGAGUGGCGAACGGGUGAGUAACACGUGAGUAACCUGCCCUUGACUUUGGGAUAACUUCAGGAAACUGGGGCUAAUACCGGAUAGGAGCUCCUGCUGCAUGGUGGGGGUUGGAAAGUUUCGGCGGUUGGGGAUGGACUCGCGGCUUAUCAGCUUGUUGGUGGGGUAGUGGCUUACCAAGGCUUUGACGGGUAGCCGGCCUGAGAGGGUGACCGGCCACAUUGGGCCUGGGAUACGGCCCAGACUCCUACGGGAGGCAGCAGUGGGGAAUAUUGCACAAUGGGCGGAGGCCUGAUGCAGCAACGCCGCGUGCGGGAUGACGGCCUUCGGGUUGUAAACCGCUUUCGCCUGUGACGAAGCGUGAGUGACGGUACUGGGUAAAGAAGCACCGGCUACCUACGU
rnacentral:rRNA from 1 species